rnacentral:rRNA from 1 species
CCUACGGGUGGCAGCAGUGAGGAAUAUUGGUCAAUGGACGAGAGUCUGAACCAGCCAAGUAGCGUGAAGGAUGACUGCCCUAUGGGUUGUAAACUUCUUUUAUAUGGGAAUAAAAUGUUCCACGUGUGGGAGUUUGUAUGUACCAUAUGAAUAAGGAUCGGCUAACUCCGUGCCAGCAGCCGCGGUAAUACGGAGGAUCCGAGCGUUAUCCGGAUUUAUUGGGUUUAAAGGGUGCGUAGGUGGAUGGUUAAGUCAGUUGUGAAAGGUUGCGGCUCAACCGUAAAAUUGCAGUUGAAACUGGCAGUCUUGAGUACAGGAGAGGUGAGCGGAAUUCGUGGUGUAGCGGUGAAAUGCUUAGAUAUCACGAAGAACUCCGAUUGCGAAGGCAGCUCACUGGACUGCAACUGACACUGAGGCUCGAAAGUGUGGGUAUCAAACAGGAUUAGAUACCCGGGUAGUC